rnacentral:rRNA from 1 species
UACGGGGGGGGCAAGCGUUGUUCGGAAUUACUGGGCGUAAAGGGCUCGUAGGCGGCCAACUAAGUCAGACGUGAAAUCCCUCGGCUUAACCGGGGAACUGCGUCUGAUACUGGAUGGCUUGAGUUCGGGAGAGGGAUGUGGAAUUCCAGGUGUAGCGGUGAAAUGCGUAGAUAUCUGGAGGAACACCGGUGGCGAAGGCGGCAUCCUGGACCGACACUGACGCUGAGGAGCGAAAGCGUGGGGAGCGAACAGG